rnacentral:rRNA from 1 species
UGCCAGCCGCCGCGGUAAUACGGGGGAUGCAAGCGUUAUCCGGAAUCAUUGGGUUUAAAGGGUGCGUAGGCGGCGUUAUAAGUCAGAUGUGAAAGCCGGCAGCUUAACUGUCGAAUUGCAUUUGAUACUGUAAUGCUUGAAUGAGGUUGAGGUCAGCGGAAUGAGUCAUGUAGCGGUGAAAUGCAUAGAUAUGACUUAGAACACCAAUUGCGAAGGCAGCUGACUGGACCUACAUUGACGCUGAGGCACGAAAGCGUGGGGAGCGAACAGGAUUAGAUA